rnacentral:misc_RNA from 1 species
UCCGAAGCCAGUUCUAUCUGAUCUUGUAUUGGCUGGGGAACAAUUCUGCGGAGAAGAUUGGUCAAAUAUUAAAAAUAAGUACUAUACUCUGGACGAGGAAAUUCUGUCUCGCUAUUGCUUCUCUUCAGCAUACAUUGUUGCCCUACUGCACGACAGUCUUGGAAUUGCUUUGGAUGAUAAAAGGAUUGAAUUUGCAAACGAGGUUGGUGAUGUCCCGCUGGAGUGGGCG